UUAUAGCAGGGGGUACAUUAUGCAUUAUAAUCUACAUUUUCUGGGUGCAGUGUCUUGAUUCCUAAAGAUGUCUGGCUCUGUUCUGCCCUUGCCUUCUUGCCUGCCACAGGUGAUGUAAUAGGAGAAAGGACUGGAGACUGAGGUGGGAGUGUAAGUUGAGAGGGAGGUUAUGUGAAAAUUGGGAGAGUUGGUGAGAAGGAAUGGAGAGAGACCAUGUGAGGGGGAGGGAGACCCAGCGAGGGGGCUAGACAGAACCGACACAGAGAUACAGGGAGUCAAACGUGAGACUGUGUCAGUGCAAAAUGCUUCCCAUCCCUCCUGCCAGCCCCUCCCCAUUGGCAAUGAGUUUCAGAGCAUCACCAGUUAAAUGGGAAGGAGCUAGAAUGAGCCUGUCAGCACGGACUGACACAGAAAACCAGCAUACCUGCUGCAACCGCUCCGCUCAGCACCUCUUUGAUAAUUACUCCUCCCCCUCCCCAAUGAAUUUCCCCGCACUAACAACAAGGGGAGGGAGAUAAGAGCAGAGCGCAGACAUGGAUCAGCAGGGGGAGCACAUGAGACGGAAGCUAUGAGGGGCCAUAUCUGAGAGGGAGUCAGAGGAAAGGAGCGCACUGUGCUGUCCCAUAACCCAUCACAGCCUACAGUGUUGCUGCUGCUAUCGCCAUUACUUCCAGUUACAGCAGAGAAGGUAAUCCAAAGGAUUUAAUAUCAGACAACGG